rfam:Ailuropoda melanoleuca scaffold74_22, whole genome shotgun sequence.
GCCCAGGUGGUUCAGUUGGUUAAACAGCUGACUCUUGAUUUCAGCUCAGGUCCUGAUCUCAGGGCUGUGGGAUCAAGCCCCACAUUGGGCU